UACGGGGGGGGUAAGCGUUGUUCGGAAUUACUGGGCGUAAAGGGCUCGUAGGCGGCCAACUAAGUCAUACGUGAAAUCCCUCAGCUUAACUGGGGAACUGCGUGUGAUACUGGAUGGCUUGAGUUCGGGAGAGGGAUGCGGAAUUCCAGGUGUAGCGGUGAAAUGCGUAGAUAUCUGGAGGAACACCGGUGGCGAAGGCGGCAUCCUGGACCGAUACUGACGCUGAGGAGCGAAAGCCAGGGGAGCAAACGGG
rnacentral:rRNA from 1 species